rnacentral:rRNA from 1 species
UACGAAGGGGGCUAGCGUUGCUCGGAAUUACUGGGCGUAAAGGGCGCGUAGGCGGACAGUUUAGUCAGAGGUGAAAGCCCAGGGCUCAACCUUGGAAUUGCCUUUGAUACUGGUGAUCUUGAGUCCGGGAGAGGUGAGUGGAACUGCGAGUGUAGAGGUGAAAUUCGUAGAUAUUCGCAAGAACACCAGUGGCGAAGGCGGCUCACUGGCCCGGUACUGACGCUGAGGUGCGAAAGCGUGGGGAGCAAACAGG